AGCCUAAGAGAUUAGGCCCUCCUUCGGGACACGAAGACAGGUGUUGCAUGGUUGUCGUCAGCUCGUGUCGUGAGAUGUUGGGUUAAGUCCCGCAACGAGCGCAACCCUCAUAUACAGUUGCCAAUAUUUAGUUAGGAACUCUGUAUAGACUGCCGUGGUUAACACGGAGGAAGGUGGGGAUGACGUCAAAUCAUCACGGCCCUUACGUCCUGGGCUACACACGUGCUACAAUGGCUAUUACAAAGAGUAGCGAUACAGUAAUGUGGAGCGAAUCUCAAGAAGAUAGUCUCAGUUCGGAUUGUGGGCUGCAACUCGCCCACAUGAAGUCGGAGUUGCUAGUAAUCCCGAAUCAGCAUGUCGGGGUGAAUGCGUUCCCGGGUCUUGUACACACCGCCCGUCACGCCAUGGGAGUUGGGAGUGCCCAAAGUCACUGACUUAACCGCAAGGGGAGAGGUGCCUAAGGUAAUACCAAUGACUGGGGUGAAGUCGUAACAAGGUAGCCGUAUCGGAAGGUGCGGCUGGAUCA
rnacentral:rRNA from 1 species